GCAGUGUGAAUUAGUUUUGAAACUGUGAGCUCUCCCAAGUUCGUAGCUUACACAACGCCUGAACAGAUAUUGAGUCUAGCUGCUUCCCUUGAAUCUUGAUGUCUCCCCCAGUGUCUUCAUGACUCCUCUUCAGCAACCUGGGGUGCCUCCAGUGUUGCACCCCAUCCGGUAUCAGCUGAGACUCAGACACCCAGGAAUUGUGUUGAUGGAGACCCACCUUUCCCAAGAAACAGCAUUUUCUUCCUGCCGGCUCUGAUGCAAACAGCUCUUCCAGGCUCCACGUUACCCCCAUCAGUUCAAUCCUCUGCACUCAUGCAGAACUCAGGGGUAUGAGGGAAACGCCCGAGAGUCAUUUGGCUGUGGGCUGAAACUCUGCUUAAAGACAGAAAGGCCUCUCCUUCCCUGCUCAUCGCUUUAUGGUCAUUUACGCAUUGCCUCGCAUCGCUUAACAACGGGGAGACGGUCUGAGAAACAUGUCAGCAGUGCCAGAGCAGGCCCUGCUCGAGGUCCUGCUGGAGCCCUGUCUCCGGGCCCGGCCGCAGCAGGUGGAAAGGGAGUGGAGUCACUCUUAGCUGAAGCAGGAAGAGAACAACACCACGUGGGUAUUGCUAUCAUCCUCAUUCGGCAGAACCAGGAACGAGCGACAGAGGCUCCGUGUUACUGAAUCUUUGCUACGUGCCGGUCAUCACACUAAGAAAAUAACUUGC
rnacentral:lncRNA from 1 species